rnacentral:rRNA from 1 species
CCUACGGGAGGCAGCAGUAGGGAAUCUUCCGCAAUGGGCGAAAGCCUGAUGGAGCAACGCCGCGUGGGUGAAGAAGGUCUUCGGAUCGUAAAACUCUGUUGUUAGAGAAGAAAGAGGGUGUGAGUAACUGUUCACGCUUCGACGGUAUCUAACCAGAAAGCCACGGCUAACUACGUGCCAGCAGCCGCGGUAAUACGUAGGUGGCAAGCGUUGUCCGGAUUUAUUGGGCGUAAAGGGAGCGCAGGCGGUAUUUUAAGUCUGAUGUGAAAGCCCUCGGCUUAACCGGGGUAGUGCAUUGGAAACUGGGAGACUUGAGUGCAGAAGAGGAGAGUGGAAGUCCAUGUGUAGCGGUGAAAUGCGUAGAUAUAUGGAAGAACACCAGUGGCGAAGGCGGCUCUCUGGUCUGUAACUGACGCUGAGGCUCGAAAGCGUGGGUAGCAAACAGGAUUAGAUACCCGGGUAGUC